rnacentral:rRNA from 1 species
AGAGUUUGAUCCUGGCUCAGAAUCAACGCUGGCGGCGUGGAUAAGACAUGCAAGUCGAGCGCUGAUUUGGUGGUAGCAAUAUUGCCAGGUCGGAGCGGCGCAAGGGUGCGUAACACGUGGGAAUCUGCCUUGAAGUGUGGGAUAACUCCGAGAAAUCGGAGCUAAUACCGCAUGUGAUCGUGAGAUCAAAGUUGGGGAUC